AACGAACGCUGGCGGCAGGCCUAACACAUGCAAGUCGAACGCCCUAGCAAUAGAGAGUGGCAGACGGGUGAGUAACGCGUGGGAACCUUCCCUGUGGUGCGGAAUAACUCGCCGAAAGGCGUGCUAAUACCGCAUAAGCCCGCAAGGGGAAAGAUUUAUCGCCAUAGGAUGGGCCCGCGUAGGAUUAGCUAGUUGGUGAGGUAAUGGCUCACCAAGGCGACGAUCCUAGCUGGUUUGAGAGAAUGACCAGCCACACUGGGACUGAGACACGGCCCAGACUCCUACGGGAGGCAGCAGUGGGGAAUCUUGGACAAUGGGCGCAAGCCUGAUUCAGCCAUGCCGCGUGAGUGACGAAGGCCUUCGGUUG
rnacentral:rRNA from 1 species